rnacentral:rRNA from 1 species
UACGAAGGGUGCAAGCGUUAAUCGGAAUUACUGGGCGUAAAGCGCGCGUAGGUGGUUCGUUAAGUUGGAUGUGAAAGCCCCGGGCUCAACCUGGGAACUGCAUCCAAAACUGGCGAGCUAGAGUAUGGCAGAGGGUGGUGGAAUUUCCUGUGUAGCGGUGAAAUGCGUAGAUAUAGGAAGGAACACCAGUGGCGAAGGCGACCACCUGGGCUAAUACUGACACGGAGGUGAGCAAGCGGGGGGAUCAAAAAUUAUUAGAUACCC